CCCUUAUUUAAAUUGUGGUUGUAAUGAUAUUGUAAAUAUUGAAACCCUUUAGUUUAAACUUAAAUCGCAAUGGUUUCACAUUUCUUGAUAUUUUAAUUGUGUAGUGUCCACGUCAGCCAGGAGGUACUGAAUGCGGCUACUAUGUGAUGAAGUUCAUGAAGGAGAUAGCUUACGAAGGAGUUGAAAUACUUGACAAUGAUAAUGUUGGGAAAGGAGUAGAGGAAUACUCGGCUGCGGAUAUGGAUGGCAUUCGUGAAGAUUGGUCGACUUAUGCGGUUAACUCUAUUUUUAAGUUAUAAAUCGUAUUUUAGGUGUUGAUAAUGUAUUGACAAACAAUUCUUUUUUUGUUAACGUUAAAAUAUUUGUAGUAUACUUGA